UCUUCAUCCAAUUUCUAGCAAUUUUGGACCGCAACGUAGCAAUCUGAUCAACAUUAUGCCCCAUCUCCAACUUCCGCAAGCAGUCUAACAACGAGAAUGCAACUGGAACAGUAAUGACGCUAGGGUCUUCAGGUAAUCGAAGGCUUGCAGGCACAAACUUUACCCCACUGGCAAAUAUCAUAGUAACUCCCAUACUCUUAAGUUCAUCCUUGUACUCAUGAAUGUCCCUUCCAUACCGAGCCUCACUAUCAUCAACGAAAGGCAACAGAGAGAUUGAAGAGAUAGAUUCCCAGUCUGAACCAAAGAGUAUACAAUCUUCAGGUACUUUAUCAACACCAAUUCGAGUUGGCAGCCACUUGACCUUUUGAAAGCAGCUCAUAAGAUCUGAAGGAAACUUAAUUCUGGCUGUCUUAUCUUCAGGUACUCUAUCAACACCAAUUCGAGUUGGCAGCCACUUGACCUCUUGAAAGCAGCUCUUAAGCUCUGAAGGAAAUUUAAAGCUGGCUGCCUUCAACUUUCUGUAGCAUGCAAGAAGAGAAAGGGCACUAUCCUUGUUUAAGGCACCCUUCGCUGUCUGCUGCCUAAAAAGAGAAGCAAAAGCUUUAGUUGCCUCCUCAAAAUUAACAACCACCCCUAGUUUCUGCAACUCAGUUUUAUAUGACAAGAUAUCGCUUCCAUAGUAGCUUGUAUCAAUAAGAGGGAAACUGCCAAAAACCUGCAGCAGGCAGCCCCAUAGAGAAUCAAGCAAAAAACAUUCAGCCGGAGAUUUGCACCCCAUACGGUCUUCACACAUUUGCUAUCAAGUCCCCUGAAUAUUUUAUCAGAUGACACCAAAUGGUGACUGCACUUAAGUAUCAAGAGCAAAGCAUCAGAACUCAGGCAAUCCAGGCGUGCUGGAGAAACAACAACAACCUGGUAAUUUUGCUUGAAACCAAAAACCACUCCAAGAAGCUCCAGUUCUGUUCUAAAAGAAAGAAUCUCAUCACCAUAAUGCUUUUGGUCAAUGAAAGUGAUGUCAUUGAUAUGUGAGGCAGCAUUCCACUCGCUGUCAAAGAAAACAGAUUCCAGAGGGGUCUUCUCACCUUGAGUAGUCCGCAACCACUUUCUAUCAUUAAUGCUAUUGAUGAAGGUGUCUGGGGAGAGAUAUUUCUCUCUCAAAUACUUGAUGAAAUUGAAUAUUGAAAUCACCUGGCCUUUGGUUAAAGUAGAAUAAGUUGCCAGAGACAUAAAAUGUUCUCCAAUAUAUGUACAUGCCUCUUUAAUUUCAAACAUGACACCAGCUGUACCUAACUCAUCCUUGUACUGUAUUAAUUCACUGCCAUAAAUCUACCACGACGUUAUACACAAUGCCCCAAAUAUAUCACGAUUGCGAAAAAAUAAUUUCUAUUGCCCCAAUGCCAUAGCACGAUACCACACUAUAUCUCAAAUCACUUAUUAAUAAUUUUAACUUUUUACAAAAUAAUAUAUAUAUAUAUACACAUACAUAUAUACACAUACAUACAUACACAUACAUACAUACAUAUAUAUAUAUAUAUAUAUAUAUAUAUGCACAAAAAACAAAAAAAACAUAGAUUAAACAAUGUACAAUUGGGAUGAGAUAUGCGAAAGGGGGAAAAGAUACGAUAACUACGAAAGGUAUGACAUCACAAUAUAGCCAAAUAACUCAUCAACCAAUGAAGACAGAUGACCGGCACACAAAAUAUACUUUCAAAAUAGAUUUUAAAAUUUCACUUAUUUCAAAGCUUAAAGUUUCACUUAUCUCAAGGCUAUCAAGCUGAACUCGACUUCUCACUUCAUUCAAGCAAUGUUGAUUCGCAAUAUACGAUCUUAGCAAGUCAAAAAUCCCAACCCUCCUUCAAAAUUCUACUAGGACGAAUCGUUACCUUCUGUGAUACAAGAAUAUUAGGUUGUUUUAGAAUAUCUAAGUAAUAUUUGUUCAUGAUUAGGCCAGCACUGUAAGCCUCUAAUUUGCUUCUUUUUUAAAAUUAAUAAACAAGCAGUAGCUUAUUCCCCAUAAUCAGCAAAUUAAUUUGUUCUCCAAAUUUCUUUCUCAAGGCUCAAGCCCUCAUUUAUGGCUUGCGAGGAUUUGGGCACAAGCUUUUCUUUAAAUAUCAAUUCUAUGUGAAUCAUACUUACAAUGAUACCUAUUUAAGUAAAAAUAUUUGUGUUACCUUGAACUAUUGUUUCCUUUGGAAACUUGCUGAAACUUAGCACCUCUCCACACCCAAAUAUAUGCCCAAUAACGUGCUGCCAAGAUAGGGAAGGAGCAACAGCAGGUUCACUAUAAUAGCUUGUAAAUUAUGAAUAACUUUUUUUUUUCUUUGACGCAUGAGUUAUGACCAUGCUAUUAGAUGUGUUGUUUUUCUUGUGAUGAGUGCCUUCGAAUAUAAGAAAUCAGAUUUCCUCUUAGUUUUAUCGAUUCUUAUUCUCAUUGACUUGCAAACCAACCAAAGAAUUCGUUUAUUUUCCACAAGCAUCUCUUAAGCAUUUAAUAUAUUCAUGGAGAUAAUUUUCACACCCUAAAAUUAGUGAGAGGUGGUUUGAAUAUUAAAAUAGAGCUACGGAAAACAUUACUAAUUGUUGUGUUAAAACAGGUAAUCUUUACUCUUCUCAAUAUGUAGAGUUGAAUGAAACAACUUUUCAUUCUUAUGACGAGAGAUUUUAAACUGUUAGUUAAAAGCUGUACAAUUAUCGAAUUUAUUUUGAAUCAGUUUUUUCUAAGGAAGUUAAUGGACACACACUAAGGAGGGGCCGAAGAAAGAAAGGAAGAGGAAGAACAACAUAUCCGUUAUUCUUUAUUGGCUAUAUUGUCUCCUUGUCAACUAGAUGUAUAUGAAAUUCAGUAAAUUAAAUAGUAGGUGCAGUAUAAUUAAAAAGUCAGCUAAACAUAAUUAAACAAUAGAAAACUGAAGAGCUUGAAUUUACUAGCACUAGAUGUUUUCUCCUCCCUGUUUUGGCUCUUUUUUUUCCUAUCUAGAUUCCUGUCUUAAGAAUCCUGAUUACUUUAGCCAAUCCAUUCACUUUUUACUUUUGCACACAAGAUAUUUUCUUCGAGAAGCUUUAAAAUACAAAAGAAGUAAAAUGCCAAGAUAAGUAGUAAACAGUUCAAUGUAACUCUACUCAGAUCAUCAAUAGUGUGAAGCAUGAAGCUAGCAAAUAGAUAAAAUAAAACGCAAAGACCAAUUGAUUCCAAGCAAGGGAUUCCAAUUUACAGUUUGCCACUAAAGACAAAUUGAUAAAUGCCUGACACACCACAUUAUGGUAGAUAAGCAUGCAAACAAAAGAGUUAGUAUAGAACUGGAUGAAGAUGGAGAGGGCCAAUCUUAAAAACUUGGAAAAGACGAAUAAUAAUGCUUUUCAGCCACUGUAUCUCCAAGUGCAAAUUUAGUAAAUUGCAUAGAAAACCUUAGAGCAGCAAACGACAAAACAGAAGGCAUUAAGAACUAGCAGGGAUUUACAACAAAAGCUAAAUCUUCAUGCAAGAGACUUCUCACAAGACCAUGUCUUCCUGCCUGCACAAAUAGAACAUUUCACGUUGGUAAAUCUUUUGUCGUAUGUCCAACAAUAAAUAGAUUAGUAACCAUCUCAAAUAACUAUACCAUAAAGUAUAGUUUGAUGGCCCGGUCUUAUGCAGUUUAAAAGAGAGAAUGCAUCAGGAAGAGAGAGUUAAGUAGAUGAUCAAGUUAUAACAUCGUUUAAGACAACUUUUAAGAAUUUCUUCAACAAGCUUCAGUGUUAACGGGUACACCCCUUUUUCUUCAUCUCCACCAAUCUUAACAAUAUAACUAAUGAAUGGCCUGAAUACAAAGGAACCCACCUGUGGUACCUGUAAAAGGGGUGUUGCAUUUACCUUCUGCUGAGAGGCAAUAUCCUGCCAAAACCCCUCCAUUUGUUGUUUAGAAAAAUAAUGUCACACAACAAAUUGCCUAAUGAACUCUAUAUAUUUCUGUUGGAACUCGGGAAAGCAUAAUAAUUCAAAAGGCUACAACAACUACCCAAUAUAUUCCCACAUGUGGGGCCUGGGAAGGGUAGUGUGUAGGAAGACCUUACCCCCUACCUAGUGAAGGUAGAGAGGUUGUUUCCAUUAAACCCUUGGCUAAGAAUAAUAAUUCAAAAGGCGAUAUCAGAAAAUAGAGAGCCGGAAGAAAUUGCAGAGCUACUUUCAGUUAAUGAUGCAUCACCAACAAAUGACAUCCAGAACCAUCAGUAAACUAGAUAUAUGUUGGAAAGUAUGAUAAUCCAUAUUUCACCUCGAUACCAAAACAUGUCAAAAGUAGUAUAUUUCAGGAAAUUACCAAAAAGAAAAAUGAAAAUUUUACAAAGACAUUAAGGGGGGGUGCAUAAUGGGGAUGGUGGAUUUAGUGUGCAUAAAUACCUAUUCGGAAGUGAAGGCAGCAGAAAGGAAUUCUUCAUCCUCUAAAAAUAUCUGCAGAUUCUUUGUUUUCAUCAAGAACCCAACAGCUGCCUCAUCGAAUUCCAGGAUGAAUCCCAACUUGAUCAAUUCAGCCAGUUGAUGCACAUAAUCAUCUUUCUCCCUUAGAAUUCCCUCGGCAACUACUUCUGAGAAAUAUGUAGCAAACUCGAGCUUACAUCUGUAACCACCUGAUUUGUCCAGCCUCUGUAUAAAUAUCUUUUCAUUUUCUCUAUCCCAGCACAUCAUUCGGCUCACUUUCACGUUCAGGACGUCACCAGAUGAAAGUGACAGACAGUAAUCCAUGGUUAUUGGUUCCAGUGUCCCAAAAAUACUAACAUCCACAAGGCUUUUGAGAGCUUCAUGUCUCAUACGCGCUUCCAUUUGAAGUGAAGGAUCAGCAAGGAAGCCAAGGAUUAACUUAAACAAAGCCUUUCCGAUGAAGAUUUCCUUCGGCUGCACCUGCUCAAGUCCAACACAAUUAACAGAAGACAAGCCAUUUUUCAGAACACAUUCAGACAGAUUACGAACACCAAUUUUGCCAUAAAUUUCAAGCAGCUUCUGCCGAGGUAAAGAUGGCAAGCUUGGUUGUGGAUACCAAACGAACAAGGGAUGAGAAGAAGACUCUGCAAAUAAAUCCUUCAGAAAGAGAUCAUCAGCAAUAAAAACAUCACGUUUAUCAAGAAACAAAAGAUCGUUCGAGUCUGAACCCACAGCAAGUUUUGACAAGUUCUCAGAUAGAAAUUUCUCGGUUCUUGAGCUCCAAUGCUUCACAAUGAACUCCCAGAAGGUUUGACACUCUGAUAGUGACAAACUGCGGUCCGCGUCUUCCCAUGACUUCCAAAGCUUGAGAAAAUCAUCAAGAGAAGGAUUGCUUUUGACACCUAAUUUGGAGAAGAAACUGAUCAGUUCUUUGUCAUAGUGCUUUUCUAAAACAUGCAGCUGCAGGCCAAAGAAACCACUUUUGUCGUGCAGAACACAAUUAUCAGGAUUCACCCACUCUCCAUCGUUAUCACCAUUUGGAAUCCAUAUGUUUGCCACUUUGGUCGUGCAGAACACAAUUAUCAGGAUUCACCCACUCUCCAUCGUUAUCACCAUUUGGAAUCCAAAUGUUUCUAGGAUCUUCUUUAGUUGGUUCCCAGUUGAACUUACUCAAGUACUUGUAAAUCCGAGUGAUCGUGAUGCUGCUGGAGUGGCAAUCAAGGUAAUCGGCAAGCAAUGAGCAUCCAUCUCUAAUUUCAACCACAACACCAAGAGACUUUAGCUCUUUCUUAUACGACCCUAUUUUGGAGCCAUAAAAUUUUUCAUCGAUGAAAGGACCAUCUUCUGGCUGUAACAGAGGACUCCACUGGGGACCAAACAGCAAACACUUAUCUGGAGACCUGUAACCAGCAUUAGUCUUCAUCCAUUUUCUAGCUAGUUUUGACUGCAACAUAUCAAUCUGAUCAUUAUGCCCCAUCUCCAACUUCCUCAAGCAAUCUAACAACGAGAAUGCGACUGGAACAGUAAUGACGCUAGGCUCUUCAGGUAAUCGAAGGCUUGCAGGCACAAACUUUACCCCGCUUUCAAAUGUCACAGUAACUCCCAUACUCUUAAGUUCAUCCUUGUACUCAUGAAUGUCCCUUCCAUACCGAGCCUCACUAUCAUCAACGAAAGGCAACAGAG
rnacentral:lncRNA from 1 species